AGAUGUCCUGUCCUAUUCAGGUGGGGAUCAGUGGCAAUGCUGUUGUUCUGUAGGUAUUGCACUUGUCCCGGCCUGUAAAGGAAGUGGGAGAUGAGCUG
rnacentral:pre_miRNA from 1 species